rnacentral:rRNA from 1 species
AGAACGAACGCUGGCGGCAUGCCUAAUACAUGCAAGUCGAACGAACUCUUCGGAGUUAGUGGCGCACGGGUGCGUAACGCGUGGGAAUCUGCCCCUUGGUUCGGAAUAACAGUUGGAAACGACUGCUAAUACCGGAUGAUGACGAAAGUCCAAAGAUUUAUCGCCAAGGGAUGAGCCCGCGUAGGAUUAGCUAGUUGGUGAGGUAAGGCUCACCAAGGCAACGAUCCUUAGCUGGUCUGAGAGGAUGAUCAGCCACACUGGGACUGAGACACGG